UAUAUUUUAUAUAUUACGACUGUCGUCAAUGUAUGGAAUAUAUCAAAGAACACCACGUAAGAAGAAACACAGAUGAAACCAGAGUAAAAAUGGUUGAUGAAGAUGACAUCACUGAAGCAAAUAACGAAAGAACUUCGCUGAUUGGCGUGAACACCAUGGCUAUUGAUAUUGAAGAAGAUGCUUUGGACAAGAUUAUGGAUAUUUCUGUUAUCUACUUUGACAAGUUUUUGUCUGGAAAACUUAGCCAUCCCGUGAGCAUCAGACACUCACGUCGGGCAAUCUGUUUAUGUCAGUUUUUGGAGGAAAUGAACAAAUCAUGUAAGGGACAGAGUACACAACAUACCAUUAUUGAAGUAUAACAGUUAUAACUGAUUUUAAAUCUCACUUAUAUACUGUAGUUUUUCAUUGUGUUUUUGUUAUUGAUAACAAGACACUUGUUUGUUUAUUUCAUAAGGUUUAAUGCCAAUACGUGAAACGUGUACAUGUGUGGCAUCUUAUUCAAUUUAGUGCCUGAGCGGUUGAUUGAUUUAUUGAUGUUGUUGUUUGAACCCCACUUCCAGUUUUAUUGGACAUUCUGUGGCAGCCAAUUUUAUUGGUAGAGGCCGCUAGAGUACCAUGAGAGAACCACCGACCUUCGGCAGGAAUACCGGCACUCCUAUUUAAUCAAGAUUGGAGUUGAAUGCAACUGCACAAGAGGGGCAAAAGAUACCAGAGGGACAUUUAAACUGCAACGUACGGGGCUCUGAUACACAGCCUCAGUGUUGACAGGCUAGUGGAACAGUAGUUCAACUGAGACAACUCGGCCAUCGAAGUCUUCUACCUGAGUCU